GUCAACAUUGUCUUCUUCCCUGCCUUUUCUCACAGAUGUUAUUCAGCUGAGUGCAAUGGCUUUCCUUUUUUGUUGUUAAAUAAAGAACUCAUUAUCACAUGGAGGUUUCGCUCCACUUGGAUGGAACAUGUCUGGCUCCAGGGGUACAUGUGUCCUUUGAACACAUUUAAGGAUAUCUGGAGCUGAUUGUCCUGGUCAUCACCACUUUUUGGACUACAGUAAUGAGAACCACGCCCCAGCCAACAAAGCCACAUUGACUGAGUGAAUCUGGAGUUACAGUUUAAGGAAUUGUUACAGUGUUUGGCAUCACUAAAUGUCUUCACCAAACCAGUCUGAAUGUCACAUUGUUCAUUGAAGCAGCAUUGUUUUUGAAGAAG